ensembl:lncRNA
GGAGAGUGUGUAGAGACAGUAAGACUGGAGAGGGUGUAGGAGACAGUGAGUCUGGAGAGGGUGGUGGAGACAGUGAGUCUGGAGAGGGUGUAGGAGACAGUGAGAAUGGAGAGGGUGUAGGAGACAGUGAGGAUGGAGAGGGUGUAGGAGACAGUAAGGCUGGAGAGGGUGUUUGAGACAGUGAGUCUGGAGAGGGUGUAGGAGACAGUAAGGAUGGAGAGUGUGUAGGAGACAGUGAGGAUGGAGAGGGUGUAGGAGACAGUGAGGAUGGAGAGGGUGUAGGAGACAGUGAGGCUGGAGAGG